UACAGAGGUCUCAAGCGUUGUUCGGAUUCAUUGGGCGUAAAGGGUGCGUAGGCGGCGCGGUAAGUCGGGUGUGAAAUCUCAGGGCUCAACCCUGAAACUGCAUUCGAUACUGCGUGGCUCGAGUACUGGAGAGGAGACUGGAAUUUACGGUGUAGCAGUGAAAUGCGUAGAUAUCGUAAGGAAGACCAGUGGCGAAGGCGAGUCUCUGGACAGUUACUGACGCUGAGGCACGAAGGCCAGGGGAGCAAACGGG
rnacentral:rRNA from 1 species